rnacentral:tRNA from 1 species
CGGGGUGUAUUAUAGUGGCAGUAUAUGUCCAUGGGGUGGAUAAGGCCCGAGUUCGAUUCUCGGCACCCCGA